rnacentral:rRNA from 1 species
AGAGACAGCAGUCGCCGCGGUAAAACGGAGGGUGCAAGCGUUAAUCGGAAUUACUGGGCGUAAAGCGCACGCAGGCGGUCUGACAAGUCAGAUGUGAAAUCCCCGGGCUUAACCUGGGAACUGCAUUUGAAACUGUCAGGCUGGAGUCUUGUAGAGGGGGGUGGAAUUCCAGGUGUAGCGGUGAAAUGCGUAGAGAUCUGGAGGAAUACCGGUGGCGAAGGCGGCCCCCUGGACAAAGACUGACGCUCAGGUGCGAAAGCGUGGGGAGCAAACAGGAUUAGAUACCCCUGUAGUCCCUGUCUCUUAUAC